UACGUAGGGGGCUAGCGUUGUCCGGAUUUAUUGGGCGUAAAGAGCGUGUAGGCGGCCAGGUAGGUCCGUUGUGAAAACUGGAGGCUUAACCUCCAGCGGUCGAUGGAAACCAUCUGGCUAGAGUCCGGAAGAGGAGAGUGGAAUUCCUGGUGUAGCGGUGAAAUGCGCAGAUAUCAGGAAGAACACCCGUGGCGAAGGCGGCUCUCUGGGACGGUACUGACGCUGAGACGCGAAAGCGUGGGGAGCGAACAGGAUUAGAAACCCGAGUAGUCC
rnacentral:rRNA from 1 species